ACGGGAGGCAGCAGUGGGGAAUAUUGGACAAUGGGGGAAACCCUGAUCCAGCGACGCCGCGUGAGUGAAGAAGUAUUUCGGUAUGUAAAGCUCUAUCAGCAAGGAAGAAAAUGACGGUACCUGACUAAGAAGCCCCGGCUAACUACGUGCCAGCAGCCGCGGUAAUACGUAGGGGGCAAGCGUUAUCCGGAUUUACUGGGUGUAAAGGGAGCGCAGACGGCUUUGCAAGUCUGAUGUGAAAGGCAGGGGCUCAACUCCUGGACUGCAUUGGAAACUGUAGGGCUAGAGUGUCGGAGAGGUAAGCGGAAUUCCUAGUGUAGCGGUGAAAUGCGUAGAUAUUAGGAGGAACACCAGUGGCGAAGGCGGCUUACUGGACGAUAACUGACGUUGAGGCUCGAAAGCGUGGGGAGCAAACAGGAUUAGAUACCCUGGUA
rnacentral:rRNA from 1 species